rnacentral:rRNA from 1 species
UUCCUACGGGGGGCAGCAGUGGGGAAUAUUGGGCAAUGGGCGCAAGCCUGACCCAGCAACGCCGCGUGAAGGAAGAAGGCUUUCGGGUUGUAAACUUCUUUUAUGAGGGACGAAACAAAUGACGGUACCUCAUGAAUAAGCCACGGCUAACUACGUGCCAGCAGCCGCGGUAAUACGUAGGUGGCAAGCGUUAUCCGGAUUUACUGGGUGUAAAGGGCGUGUAGGCGGGACUGCAAGUCAGAUGUGAAAGGCGGGGGCCCAACCCCCGGACUGCUUUGG